rnacentral:tRNA from 1 species
CAUUAGAUGGCUGAAAGUAAGUAAUGGUCUCUUAAACCAAUUUAUAGUAGUUUAACGCCUACUUUUAAUGA